AUAGCAACUCAUAUUUUUUAAAAAUAUAUAAAUUAUAUAAUUGUGUAAUUACAAUUUUUACAACCAAAUAUGGCAUUGCAACCAAAUAAUUGUUUUGUGUUGUCCAAUCAUACCCUUGAUGUAAAAUAUAUAUGUAAAAAAGAGAUAAAUAGUCGGAAAGUAUAAAAAUGUUAAAAUUGUGCCAAUUGAAUCUUAGCUCGAUUGACAUAUGAAUUGUUGUCAAUGCAGGAGGACGUGGGUUCAAGUGCGCUGGAGCGCAUUAUCUUCCUAUUUAUGAGUUGGGGAGGGGUUAAGAGCAUAUAUGAUCAGAACUUAUAAUGAAAUAGUUAAAUCCAUAAUUUUUUAGAAAUUUAAAUUUAUUACGAAAUAAAUAUUCCAUAAAUCAUGAACUUAAUUUUUCAAAAUUUAAACCUCACAAGUGGGUUUAGGCUACAACAAACGUUACAUUUUUGGUUAAAAUGCGCCAAAAGUCUCUUUAUUUUUUAAAAAUUAGAAAUUUAGUCCUUAUACUUUUAUUUUAUGGAAUUUAAUCUCUCUACUUUUUAAAUUUCAAAAAAGCAGCUCCAACUAUUAAAUACUGUUAAAUCUAAGGCUGUGUUUGGUAACCAUGAAAAUAUUUUCCGGAAAAUGUUUUCCUAAUUUUACGCUGUUUGGUUACAUGAAAAUAUUUUACAUAAGUAAAACGUUUUCAGAAACCCGGUAAAAUGGGAUGCUUUUUAUGUAAAAUGUCUUACGGAUUUUUUUUCCGUAAGACAUUUUCCAAACUCUCACUUUCCCUUGCGCCGUUCAUCUUCCUUCUUCUUCAUCCAUCUAGGUAUUUUCCACUUUUACUUCUUCUGUUCUUCUUCUUCCAUUUUUCCUUUCGCAUAAUCUCUUCUAAUGGUAGCUUUUCGGUCUUAGGUGCUUUCUCUUUCGCAUACAACUGGUAUCAUCCUUGCGUCGUUCUUCAUCUUCUCAUCCAGGUAACUUUUCUCCUCUUCUUCUUCUUCCAUUCUUCAUCUUUAAUUGAAAGUGUAAAAACGUUAUUUAAGCAAAUAUACAGAGGACAGGAGCAUUUAAGGGUUUAGACAAAUACACCAAAAACCUCACGCUUAGGCUUCUUGUUUUUCCCUUUUCUACUAAUACCCACUUACCCCAUCUCUACAAUCUGCUUUUUUUUUUCAUGUGACAGUUUAAAACAUUGAAUUGAAGGUUAUUGACUGGAUUUUCUAUUUCUGGAUUUUAAACAGUUUAAAAUUAUAUAUGCUUAUCUCCAUUUGUUUAAGUUAAAUGAGGUUAGUUGAUUAUCACUUGGAAGUUGUCAAAAAAAAAAAACUCCUUAAAUCAUGAAACAAAGACAUUUGUGGAAACAUUAAUGCCAUAGUGAUGAACUUAGAUAUGCUGAUUAACGAUCUUGACAAACUAGCAGAGGGAAAGGGAGCUCAAUUCAGAGGAGCUUACUCUUAAAGAAAAAUACCCAGCAAGCUUCCACUAAAAAAUCCUAAUAAGGUGUGGAGGGUACAACCGCUCCACAUGCUUAAGACUUCAUGGAGUAUAGAAUUUUAAAGGAUAUAAAAAAAUACAGGUUAAAUAUAUCCUAUUCCAGGUGCUUGAAAUUCUAAAAUUCCAAUUUGGAAAUCUUCAAAUUUUCAAAACAUUAUAUGAUUAAUUUAGGAAAGGCAGUAAAUUCAUUUUUAUGGAAUCUACAAAUCAAGUUCAAAUGAUUCUAUGGCCGUUCCAAAGCUAACAACAUAGUACAAAAUCUAACGAGGGACCUCAACUAAUAGUCUUUACAAGAUAGAUAUCCUUUAGUGAUAUAUAGACUAAUUCCAUUUUGAUCUGCAGGAAAAAAAACAGUUGAUAAAUAGCUUAAAAUUUAGACUAUUACACAAGAAACACAAGGCAGUAUGCAGUUUAUUUCUGAGUUUAUUUGUGUUUAGGCAGUAUGCCUUUGCAAGUUAUAUGACUAAAAUGCUGUUAAAAGUAGCAGUGGUUUUCUUUAUUUUUUCAUCUCUAUUUUUUCUUUUGUCAUUUUGUCUGAAUUGAUAAUUAUUGAGGACGAACUUUACUUACUAUUUUUGAUCAUUUGUAACUGUUUAAGCUUCAAAUUUUGAAUAACAAAGAGGUAUUUUUAAGGUAUCUUAUGAUGGCCAUUGCAUUCAAAGCUACAAAGAUUGGAAGCUUUAAAAUGAGAACUUGGAAUAGCAUGGAAACAAUCACCUAGAGUGACUUGUGGGAAUUAGAUUUUUGUCUGGUUUGAGGUUUGUUCAACAGAUAGGUGUAAUUUGGGAUUUUAUGGUUCUGUUUGUUGCGAUCUGUCUAUGUUUAUGUUUUUAGGAUGGGUCAUUUUGUACCUGUUGAUUACUUUGUUUUUAUGCAGCUUUCAUAGUUGUUGUACUAGCAAAAAAAAUAAUAAGUCAAAUAAUAUAUAUUUUAUUUUUUAAGUUCAUGGUUAUUGGCAGUGUCUGAAUAUGCUUACUAGAUUUUUCAUUUUAAAAUAUGAUUUAUGAUUAAAAAAAAGUCAUGUAAAAGUGUGUAGUUUUUUGCCUUAAGCAAUCGGUAGUUCAAUUGUCUUUUGGUCUACUAUUGUUAUCAUCACAAAAUUAACUUGUAAUGGUCUCAAUUGAAA
rnacentral:lncRNA from 1 species